rnacentral:rRNA from 1 species
AGAGUUUGAUUAUGGCUCAGGAUGAACGCUGGCGGCAUGCCUAAUACACGCAAGUCGAACGAACUACCUCUAUGACCUUGAAAGUGCUUGCACUGGAUUGUGAUUAGAAUUUGUAGUUAGUGGCGGACGGGUGAGUAACACGUGGGUUACCUGCCACACAGAAUGGAAUAACUAUUGGAAACGAUAGCUAAUACCGUAUAUGACCUUCGGGUUGAAAGGGGCGUUUGCCUCGCUGUGUGAUGGGCCUGCGGCGCAUUAGCUAGUUGGUAAGGUAAAGGCUUACCAAGGCGACGAUGCGUAGCCGGACUGAGAGGUCGAUCGGCCACAUUGGGACUGAGACACGGCCCAAACUUCUACGGGAGGCAGCAGUAGGGAAUUUUCCGCAAUGGACGAAAGUCUGACGGAGCAAUGCCGCGUGAGUGAUGAAGGUUUUCGAAUCGUAAAGCUCUGUUGUAAGGGAAGAACAGCACUAGUAGGAAAUGACUAGUGUGUGACGGUACCUUACCAGAAAGCCACGGCUAACUACGUGCCAGCAGCCGCGGUAAU